UACUGGACGCUUGCUUCCUUCUCCUGGAGACUGUCCUCUUCUAGCUGUAGUUAGCCAGGUGGUAGUGGGAUUUGGUACUACAGGGGUGUAGGUAUCUGGGGCCUCAGGGUUUUCUAAGGCUGCAUAAGAGUAGAAAGGGAAGAAACUGAACAGCCAGCCAGCAUAGAGGCUGUAUAGCACAUGAAUGGGAACCGAAAGACCUUGGUGGCUACCCCAGACAGUCAAGUGAACCCAAGACUACCAGCCCAGGGAUGGCACCACCCACAAUGAGCCCUCCCCCCUUGAUCACCAUCGGAGAAAAUGCCCCACGGCUGGAUCUCAUGGAGACAAUUCCCCAACUGAAGCUCCUUUCUCUGUGAUAACUCCAGCCUAUGUCAAGUUGACACACAAAACCAGCCAGUACACCCUAACUGCACCAGCAGCAAAACCAGCCAGUACACCCUAACUGCACCAGCAGCAUACAGUAGGUUAAUCAAUACAUGCUCUGGUCGCAGCGCGUAUGGGUGAAAAGCAGUCUGCACCUUGUUUAUUUCUCCACAAAAAACACUGCCUGGCGGCCACCAUUUUACCUUCUCCAGCAUCUCGGCAUGACAGAAAGCUUUGAGCUGCUGCAGACUUCGGUGUGAAAUAACACAUUUAUCUCCAGUCAAGCCUUUGUUGGCCAAGAAUGGAUUUUUCUUUGAGCGCCAUCAGCUCAGCCACAUUCUUCCUGCCAGAAACAGCUUCCUCUUUAACUUGUUUUUAUUGUGGAUUUGCCUGUGUGUGUUUGCGUAGACGUGCACACAUGUGUGCAUGCAGUUGUUUGCAUGUUUCAUGUUAGGAGGGUACACAUAUGUGUGCGUACACAGAGGCCGGAAGUCAGCCUUAAGUGCUGGUCCUCAGGAACCAUUCAUUAUUUUGUUGAGACAUGGUCUCUCAUUGGGACCUAGAGGGUCAAGAAGGUCAGGCCACCUGGCCAACAAACCCAAGACACCCUCUGAGUCUCUGUCUCUCAAGCGCUGGGAUUAUAUUAUGCCUGGAUUUGUAAAUGAUGCUAGGGAUCAAACUCCGAGGCAUCCGCCCAGAUCCCUCCAGUUAUUAGGCUACAAACACCAGAUGAGUGCCUUCUCAGAACUCCACAUAAGAAGAGGACAGAAUUAAUAAUGGCCUAGAGGAUAUGAGAAUACAUGCAAAUAAAUUACCCCAGCUGGAGGAAGUAAGAGGAGAAACUGCUCUUUCUGCCUGUGGUCCUGUGUUGGAGACUAAUUACUUAGAACUGUGAUGGCUCUUGUGUAACCCUAGGGGCUGGUGAGGACAGAAGCUCUCAUAAAAAGGUGGUUAAAAGUUGGGACUAGGAUAGAGAGGCGUCUCAGUGGUUAAGAACACUGCUUGCUCUUCCAGAGGACACAGGGUCAAUUCCCAGCACCCACACGGCAGCCCGCAAUCACCUAUAAUACCAGUUCCAGGGGAUCUGACACCCUUUUCUGGCUUCUGUGAGCGGUGCACACAUACGGCACAAGCCACACAUGCUGGCAAAAGAU